CUCCGAGCGCACCACGCCCACACUUCGCCGCAGCUGCAGGCUGCCUGUCAUCAGAGCACCUAGCAGCAAUCAAAGGGACAGCCUAAAAUCCAGUCACUCCUUGGAUCUUGCGCCGGAACGUCGUUAACUCUUGUAUAUCCGCCCUUUUUCGUGUGCUCGAGCGCUGGAUCUCGACCUCCGCCCGGAUAUUGGACUGCCUCCCAUGAUCUUCGUUCACUCGCCUGGACUCGGACAUUGUUGCUUGCCGCCUGCCCUCGACCUCCUGCCUGUCCCCGGAUCUCCCUUGUGCCUACCCCCUUGGUCAGAUGAAGGUUCCACCCAUCACGCAUGUACAACACCCUCCUGAAUUAUUCACAUGGUUAACUUUACACUUAAUCCUGCAACCAACACUUAGAGUAGCAUACACAUCCCACACAAUCAUCAAAGGUUACAAUAAACCUGGUAACCUUAA